rnacentral:lncRNA from 1 species
UUUUUUUUGUUUUUUUUUUCCCCCACAGUCAGGCAACAUUCAUCCUAACCAACAUUUACCAAAAUCAAUACAUUUUAAUUGAAACUAAUGGCAGUUAGCUUAAACCAACAGAUUUUUCACUGGCCUAAGUACAUUAAAUCAAUAUAUUUCUCAAAAUUGCUAUAUCUUAUGUAAAACAAUGCAUUUUCAUUUUGUCCGGGACACAUUUUUAUUUCACUCUAAUCUGCCAAGUUAAAGAGUCAGGCUGAAGUAAUAGAUUUCUUUUUUUAUACCAGCCCUAAGAUCUUGCAUGAAAGAAACAUAUUAAUCAUUCAGAUAUAUGAAUUCGAUUUCAUUAGGUUUAAUGUAACAGACAUUUAUUGAGCACCUACUGUUUGUGAGAUACUAUGUUUGACACUCUGGAGGGUACAGAGUGAUUAAGAUAGAGUUUCUACCCAUAGAAGCUCAUAAUUUAGUGGUGAAUACGUCCCUGGAGAGAAUUAAUUAUAACAUAAGCCAAACAGCUAGGGAAAUGUAAAGAGGGGACAUAUUAACUGUAACUAAGGAAUUCAGGAGGAAAUUCAGGAGGAAAAGAAAUUGAUUUUAAGCUCAUCUUUGAAUGAUGGGUACGCGUAGUGGAGAGACCAUGCUACAUAGAUUGGACAGAUGGAACAAAAUAUUGAUUAAGUAAUACCCGUUACUUAACUAAACAUAUAUCCUAAAUUUUUAGGACCUUAACAAAAUAGAAAUUAAUUUCUCACUCCCACUAAAAUCCACAGUGCCUAUUCCUGAUUGGGAAUUUACUAUGUUUAAUGACAUUUCUAAAACAAAGGGUCCUUCCAACUGGUAACUCCAGUAUCCCUCAGCAUUCCAAGUACUCUGUAUCCAGCAAGUGGAAGAGGAAAGAAAGAGCUUGGAGAAGGAACAUCUCCUUCUAACAGGUUGAGCUGAGAAGUGGUACCAAUCACUUCUGUUCACGUUCCCUGGGUAAAAACUGGUUUCACAUUGUACCUUGAUGCAAAUGGAUGGAGAAACAUAGACCUUGUCUGGGAAUCCACAUCCUAUUGAUAACUAUAUAUUCUGUAAGGAGGAAUGUGAACUUAGAUGGACAUCAGCUACUUGGCCACAAAGACACAAGGCAAGAAAUACUGAGGGUUAUGAGUAUGGCAUAGAGAGAAGGUGAUGACUAUUUUAGAAGGAAAGCAAGGCCAGAGUAUUAAGACCUCUCUACACCACCUGGGAGUGUUAAUUCUGCACAUAAAUGGGGGCCACUGAGGGGGAUGUGUGUUCAUUUAAAAAAGACCCCACAGAGAUCCCUCCUGCCUUCCCUAUGUGAGUACAGAAGUGAGAAAUUAGCAAUCUGCAACUUGGGACAGGGCCUUCCCCAGUCUCUUACCAUGCCUGGAAAUCUGACCUUGAACUUCCAGCCUCCAAAACCAUGAAAAAAAAGACAGAGAUUUGGUCUUAUGUUCAUUUUUAUGGUGAUUAUGGUGCCUGAGAACACAGAAACUACAUUUUCAAAUGUUAUGUCCUAAGAGGCUAUAGAUGCUAAGCUUACUAAAGGCCACUGAGAAAUUCAGCUGAACCAAGUACGUUGAUUUGAUUCUUGGACUUGAUUCAUUUAUGUGAAUCUCAGAAUAUAAAUACUAGUUAUAGGGCAUAAGCUAUAGAAUUUUUAAAAUGUAUCCUCAUAUAUUACUGUUGUCAAAUAUAUAUAUGAAAGUGCUACACUAAAUCAGAAUUUUGGAACUAGGGUCUAAGUCUUUAUCCUAUUACUCAUUGAUCAUGUCAUUGAGAACAAAUACUAAACCUCUUCAGCUUCAGCUCUCUCUUCUGUUUAAAAGUAUUAAUAGCAUUGUUUUUAUGAUUAGGCAUGGAACCUAUGUAAAGAGUCUACUGCAAGGCUGGCCAUCUAAUAGUUUUUAAAAUGUUGGUACGAAUCUGCACAAAUACAUGACAUAUGCUUAAUGAUUGCAUAGCGAGAUUUAUAUGCUGCACAUAAAUGUAGAACACAAAAUUGAGUGUGGGUUUUCCUUUUUCCCUAUGUUUAGUGCAUGAGGCCCAAAGCUGAAGAAAAACUGGUAUUGAGUUCAGUCCAUGCAAAAUAGAACUUGCAACAGCUAUAUCCUGACAGCCCCUGCCAGGUCUUAUUUUAAGGCAGCAGAACAGGCCCUAAUACCAGUUGCCAAAACCAAAACACUCCAUUAUGUGUUUCUGGUAAAAAAGUUAUACUGGAAAGAGGAAAAGUUAGUUGAUAUUCUAAGGGAGGUAGUGUCUAUGGUUAGAAAGUCUUCCUCUAUUCCUUCUCAAAGCUAACUCUUGGGGUUAGAGUAUGGCAUUGUCUGAAAGGGGAAAGGACUUAUGUAUUUGUUCCCUUGAAAAUGGUUGAUUAACUAGAGUCAAUCAAAGUGUAAGUAAAAUUCGUUGGGAUAGAACCACUUGCAUUUUCUGAAGGGUAGGGGCUUAUAAGAGCAUAGAGACUAGGGUUUGGUUAUUGUUUGGAAAUUUCUGAAGAUGAGAGACUUGCUUUUGACACCAUGACAAAAAGGGUUAUAGUAUGCUCUGGAAGAGGACGGGACAACUUUCCACCCCAUCCCAGUUUCUAGUAUCCCUCAAACAGCAUUGAUAAAGAAAACAGCUAUUCUGGGCUUUAAAGAGCCCAAUGCUUUGAGGUAGAAUCAGAUACCCUGGCUGGCCAAGUGUUCUAAACUAAGAGAACAUGUUGGAGGCAUGAAUUGCUGGUCAGAGUGGAAGAGAGGCCUGACUGCCCUCUCUAAAUGUGCUAACCAUAAUAGAAAGUGUUAGGUUAAAGCUGAUCACUGCCUCAGUGGAACCACACUUACUCUCCUUGUGGAGACCAAUCCAUUGACAGAGACACCAACAAUGAAUGGAAGGAACUAAGUCAGCGUGAGAUUAGGGAAACUUCCCACACCCAAGUCUGAGAAAUGUUGCCAUUCUCACUUAUUUCCCUUCCCAUUCUUCAUUCCUGGGGAUUUGAAAAGAGGCAGAUUCUAGAAUAGAAUGAAGGGGGAAAAUGAUGGCCCUGCCCAAAUUCAGAUCCCUUUGAGGCAUAAGUUUGUAUUGAGGGAAGUCAUAAAAUGAUGAUAAUGAAAAUAAUUAAUUUUAAUAGCUAGUAUUUUUUUCUUUCACUUUGUGCCAGUCAAUAUUCCAAGUUCUCCACGUAUAGAAGAGCCAUGUAAUGUAGAUUAUUUUAUUAUUUCCAUGUGAUUGCAGAGGAAAUGAAGCCCAUUUAAGUUUAAGAAACUAACUCAAGAAACUAAAACAAGUAGUUGGUGAGUCUUGGAUGAAAUCAAUAGAAUAUGGCUCCAGUAUCUACGCUCCUAUACUUGAGUUCAAAAUUGUAAUCCAGAGUGAAAUUUUAAUAAUCAAAAUGUACACAAAUUUUUAUUGAGGGAUGUGAGAAGAAAAUUUGACAGAACAAGUUUGAAGACAGAUACUGGAUAAAAAUAGAAGUAUUUCAUAUGCAUACCUGAACAAGUCAAAACCACUUGAUAAACUCUUAAUAAACUGAUUUUAUAAGCAUGAAAUGAAUAUAUGUAUGAUAUAAAAUGUACAUAUAUUUUAUAUGUAUAUGUAUGAAUAUACACACACACGUAUUACAAAUUGAAGUCCUAUAAAGAAAACCCAAUAAGUUUUUGUUAAAAGAAUGUUACUCUGGAAUUCCCAUUUUGGCUUAGUGAGUUAAGAACCUAACAUAGUGUCAAUGAGGAUAUGGGUUUGAUCCCCGGCCUCGCUCAGUGGGUUAAGCAUUGGAUCCAGCAUUGCUGAGACUGUGGCACGGGAGAGAAGAUGAAGCUCCCAUUCGACUCAUAGUCUGAGAAUCUCCAUAUGCCACAGGUGCGGCCAUAAAAACAAACAAAAAAAGACCAUUACUCCUGUAACAAUAACUACUAUAAUGUGUAUAAUUUGCAUAAACACAUGCAAAUUCUAUGCAGUAUUAGAGAAAAUUAUUGAACAUAAUUGAAAUUAUUGAUCACAAUAUAUUGAAUUUAUCUUUAUUUCCUAAAUGUUCAUCAUGGAGCAUGCUUUAUUGAAAAGCUGGAGAAGAUAAACAUCAACGCAUCCUCUUAAGAAAACUAACUCUCAUUCUUUAUACUUCUGUCAUUGCAAUGGAAAUGGUAGAUGCAUGAGCACAGGGGAAGUUUAAUAUUAGAUUGAAGAAAAUAUUAAAAAGUACAGCAGACUGGCUAAAACAAGCCUGCACUGGCACAGAGGAGGGCCCUGGUGACAUGCUAGGUCUUCUCCACAUCUAAUUUUGAUAAUAUGAUUGAUGAUGUGAUUUCUCAUAAAUGGUGGAAAGAAACAACAUCAAAACUAAUCACAUUAUGCUGGCAUUUGGAAGUCUAAAUAAAAGGUAUGUGAACUCAUUACAGGAAGGUAUUUUUUCAUUUGAAAUUUAAAUUUGCCAGCCCAUCCAUAUUUGUCUGGGAAACUUGUGAAUUUGUUUGUAGAUGAAAAUGACCAGAGUUGAGUAAUCAGUUCUAACUGAUUAGGGUUUAUAAUAGGCAGCGCUGGGACUUCCUGGCAGUUACAUAUCUGCCUUUAUGAGUCUCAAGGAUGAGGAGGAGGAUAUGAGGCUCUGAGUCCCUGUAGCCAGGUUUUUCUGUCCCUUCAAAGGAAGAAAUGACAUACACACACCCCUCCCUAACCACUGCUAAUGACAUUUCUCUUUGCAAAUUUGGCUUUCUUUGUAGUUAUAAUUUUCCCUUAAAAUGGAAAUGUUUAAGAGUUUUAAGUUGAGAGGAUAGUUUGCCUUUAUUUCAUAGACUUUUCAAUGAUAUAGUCAUGGCUGUGUGGCAGUCUCUACCAAGGGGGAAAUUAACUUUAAUAUAAAAACACACAGCUAGGAGAACUCAAGAAGUCUAUCAUUUUUCCAAUAUGUAGUAUUCAAGCCCCACAGUAGCACACCCUACACUUAAGCUAUCAAGAAAUUUAGGCUAUUUGAAAUGUUACAAAUGUGCAAGCAAUACCCAUUAUCCUAGAUGGGCGAUACAAUUUAUGGAAGAUAUAAUAAAUAGAGUGAAAUUUAGUAUGUUUGUUCAAUAUAGAGAAGGUAAUUGAAGUACAGGAUCCAAAGUAAAACCAUAAACAAUAAUUAGAUAGUGAAAAUGUGGAGAGUUGACUGUGACCCACAUAAUAAUACAGCUGAGCAGCAGCAAAGACAGAAGCUGGCUUGCAUUUGGAAGCAGAUUAUAAAGGAAAUGUAUGCUUAAUAAACAUCUGGAGAAACUGUGAUCGGAUCUGAAGAAGAAUAUUCUGAGGAAGGGAACUCUCUAAUCUUAACCUUACAAUCUUAAUUUUUGGUAGAACAUAUGAUUAUGUCGAUGUUAUUAUGUACAUCUGGAAUGAAGUUAGUGUGAUGUCUCUGUGAACCUCAGCAUUGAACAAAUCGCAAUAAAAAUGUGCAGUUGCUUGGUACAGCUAGUAUCCCUGAUAGUUCCAAAUUAAAAUUUCUCCAAGAUUGUUGUACUGUUCAGGGUCUUGGGUGAGAAUAACAGAAAGAGAUCCUGCCUGUGUUGAGCACAAAUGGAAUUUAAUUGAGGGGACUUCCCAUUGUGUCUCAGCACUAAGGACCCCGACCAGUAUCCAUGAGGAUACAGAUUCGAUUCCCGGCCUCACUCAGUGGGUUAAGGAUCCUGUGUUGCUGUGGCUGUGGCAAAGGCUAGCAGGUGCAACUCCAAUUUGAUCCUUAGCCUGGGAAUUUCCAUGUACCAUGGGUGCAUCCCUUAAAAAAAGGACAAAACAAAUUUAAUGGAGGUAUAUGAGAGGCUCAUAGGAUUAGUGAGUGGGUUAAAAGACAGGACGGGAGAAACAAGCAAGGCAAAGCAUCAGGAAAAGUCUUGGAUAAUGCACCAUCAUUUCAGCUAUAAAGCACACUUUCUAAUCAGUAUCUACCACAUGAUAAGAGUCAAAGGACAGGAGAGAACAUCUGAUUGGCUGAUGGUAAGCUGAAUAUAUGCCUGUCAUUGUACUAGGACAGGGAGAGGUGGAAUAUGUUUCUUGAAACUUUCCUUGGGAAACAUGCACUUUUUAAUGACAAUUAGGAACUUUCAAGUAUCUAUUUUAUAGGAAUAUUAUAUAAUACACAUCGAGUAUCUAUCAUGUAAUAAUAUAGAAUAACGAUAUGUAAUAAACACUACAAAGGACUAAGAGGUAAAAGUUCUGACUUUUAAGAAUUUAUUUUAGGAGUUCCCGUUGUGGCGCAGUGGUUAACAAAUCCGACUAGGAACCAUGAGGUUGAGGGUUCGAUCCCUGCCCUUGCUCAGUGGGUUAACGAUCCGGCGUUGCCGUGAGCUGUGGUGUAGGUCACAGGUGCAGCUCGGAUCUGGCAUUGCUGUGGCUCUGGCAUAGGCCGGUGGCUACAGCUUCGAUUCGACCCCUAGCCUGGGAACCUCCAUAUGCCGCGGAAGCGGCCCAAAGAAAUAGCAAAAAGACAAAAAAAAAAAAAAAAAAAGGAAUUUAUUUUAUACACGAAUCACUGCAGGAAGUAGGAGAGAGCAGUACAAGAUAGAACUGAAAGAGGAAGCUACCAUUAUUUCAUUUUAUAUAGGUGGAGGGAGAUGCCUAGGAAGGGAAAAUAGCCUGCCUCAUAUUACAACAGCUUGAAUGGAAAGAAAUUAAAAUCGUGUGUAAUGAGCAAUGAGGCAACUAGAGUGGCCAUAAUUGAGUGACCAAACAGGAACAUUUUUGAGAGUAAGAGGAUGGCUAUUAAUAUUUAUGCUAGAACAACAGACUCAAACAGGAGCAUCCCUGGCUUAUAGCCUUGGCACGUCAGUGCAGUAAUCCUGAGAAUGACAACAAAGAACAUUGCUUACUGGCUAUGUGCACUUUGGGCAGAAGCAACAUGAACAGUGCUGACCAAUAGAACUUUCUACAAUAAUGGAAAUGUUUUAUUUCCAGGUGUUCACUAUGUGGAAUC